rnacentral:rRNA from 1 species
UCGAGGGGCAGCGGUGGUGAAGGCUUGCCUUUACCAGCCGGCGACCGGCGCACGGGUGAGUAACACGUAUGCAACCUGCCUGCCACAGCCGGAUAAUCGGGAGAAAUUCCGUCUAAUACGGCAUAAUGCACCUAUGGGACAUCCUGUUGGUGCCAAAGGUUAAUUCCGGUGGCGGAUGGGCAUGCGUCGCAUUAGUUAGUUGGCGGUGUAACGGACCACCAAGACGACGAUGCGUAGGGGUUCUGAGAGGAAGGUCCCCCACACUGGUACUGAGACACGGACCAGACUCCUACGGGAGGCAGCAGUGAGGAAUAUUGGUCAAUGGGCGGGAGCCUGAACCAGCCAAGUCGCGUGAGGGAUGACGGCCCUAUGGGUUGUAAACCUCUUUUGCCGGGGAGCAAAGUGCCGCACGUGUGCGGUUUGGAGAGUACCCGGAGAAAAAGCAUCGGCUAACUCCGUGCCAGCAGCCGCGGUAAUACGGAGGAUGCGAGCGUUAUCCGGAUUUAUUGGGUUUAAAGGGUGCGUAGGCGGACGCUUAAGUCAGCGGUAAAAUUGCGGGGCUCAACCUCGUCGAGCCGUUGAAACUGGGUGCCUUGAGUGGGCGAGAAGUACGCGGAAUGCGUGGUGUAGCGGUGAAAUGCAUAGAUAUCACGCAGAACUCCGAUUGCGAAGGCAGCGUACCGGCGCCCAACUGACGCUGAAGCACGAAGGCGUGGGUAUCGAACAGGAUUAGAUACCCUGGUAGUCCACGCAGUAAACGAUGAAUACUAACUGUCCGGGCAGAAUGAUGCCUGGGUGGUACAGCGAAAGCGUUAAGUAUU